rnacentral:lncRNA from 1 species
UAACUCCAUCCCCGACGACCAGCUACCACCCCUUCUACCCCACCACCAUGGCAGUCCCAAGACUUGUCCUGGCAGACGGGGAUGUCCCCUAAUUUAACCGGGACAAUUUUCAUGUUUUUAUUACUUUCUUGCAGUUCGUAUUAUUUACCAUAAUUUAAUAAUUAUUUUCUUGGUCAAUUAGGCUUUCUAUAUGUUUUCUUUUUCAAUUAUGAUUUCUUAAUGCCGUUAAGGUUUUUUUUUUAAUCUUUCUAUUUCAACAAUCAGUAAAGGUUUCAUGCGGAGACUACUACUUGACUACUGAUUUCUAACCUAUUCUUUUUUUUUUCAGGUGACUUUCUAUAUAUUUUCUACAAAUUAGAAUUAGUGGCAAAGUUAGAAAUUCAUGUUAAGAGGAGCAUGUUAGACCUUAUAAAAAAAAAUUUCAGAAAAAAAGACCAUAUAAAAGAAAUUGACUUUGGUAUAAAAUCGGAAUAGUAGGAGAUAUAUUAAUGAUUUUGUUGUGUUAAUUUUCAAUGAAGUGUUCUUUUCAAUUUCUAAUCUAUAAGUCUGAACAUUUAGAGAAGACAAAUAACUAAACAAAAUAUGUGGAAAGAAUGACCAAUUCAUGAUUUGUUGAUGAGUCACGUGACUUAUUUUGGUUGAUGAGUCACGUGAACGUUUAGAAUUUUUAAUGACAAAUUAAUUAUAACAUUUAUAAAUUGGUGUGAAUAAUAUCUCCGUAGUGGAUACAAUAAUUCUCAGUUUUAUACUCGAGGAUGAAGUUCUUCUCAUGUUGAUCGAAAGGCCAAUUCAUGAUUUGUAUGUGAAUUAGCUAGAUGAAUGGUUAAUAGACAAUAUUUUUUUAAUCAAUAGACGAAGUAGAAUUCAAAAUUUUGACAUAUUUUAACAAAAAAAAAAAGAAGAAAAAUAUCUCUAAGCAUUAUCAGCACGGACAGAGUCAAAUAGUCUCAAGAAGCUGUGAAUGCAAAAAGUCCCACAUUGAAAAGUUGAGAAACAUAACAAGAGCUUAUAAGGAGUUGGGCUACUCUUCCC